GCCAGCAAAACGAGAGGAGCCGAAAUGGAUGGCCACAACAACACUCCACCGCCUUUCUGGCCUUCUCAAUUCCGUCGCUACCAGCACGAGGUGGGAGGAUCUUCCAGUGGUAAUUCGGCCGCGACACAAAGCCAGCCUAACCAGAUGCAUGUCUCACGCAGCCUUGUGCCACAGAGAGACCAAAGAAUGCUACCAGUCACGGCGAAGCAACUCAACGACGCGGCCGCGAACGAACCAGAUGGGUUUCCCCCCGAAAUAUCUUACGUGAGACCACCCACAGUAAGGAGACGUCAACCAUAGCUUGUUUUGUCAUGAAGGACGAAAGGAUGGGCACGUGUAAUCCCUUCGGGAGUGUUAUUUUCAGUCCGAGUACACGUAAUUAUGAUCUAAUCUCCGUCCA